AUUGAACGCUGGCGGCAGGCCUAACACAUGCAAGUCGAGCGGAUGAAGGGAGCUUGCUCCUGGAUUCAGCGGCGGACGGGUGAGUAAUGCCUAGGAAUCUGCCUGGUAGUGGGGGCUAACGUCCGGAAACGGGCGCUAAUACCGCAUACGUCCUGAGGGAGAAAGUGGGGGAUCUUCGGACCUCACGCUAUCAGAUGAGCCUAGGUCGGAUUAGCUAGUUGGUGGGGUAAAGGCCUACCAAGGCGACGAUCCGUAACUGGUCUGAGAGGAUGAUCAGUCACACUGGAACUGAGACACGGUCCAGACUCCUACGGGAGGCAGCAGUGGGGAAUAUUGGACAAUGGGCGAAAGCCUGAUCCAGCCAUGCCGCGUGUGUGAAGAAGGUCUUCGGAUUGUAAAGCACUUUAGGUUGGGAGGAAGGGCAGUAAGUUAAUACCUUGCUGUUUUGACGUUACCAACAGAAUAAGCACCGGCUAACUUCGUG
rnacentral:rRNA from 1 species